UGGCUUGGGUGAAAACUCUGGGGCCACCGUAGACGGGGACAUUUCCC
rnacentral:sRNA from 27 species